GAAAAUGUGGCUCACUGAGCUCAAAAAAAAGGCUCUGUGCAUGAAAUCAUGAAAACUACAUGGGGCGAUAACAUUAAUCAAAUCCCAAAGCUUAGAAUAUCCUGAAGAUGACCCAUCUCCACGUAUUUCCAAAAUUGGGAGAGCUUUUUUUAUGGAGUGAUUUAUUCCUAUAGCUAUUCAUAGAAAGAGUCUGUUCCUUAAGGUACGUGACAACCUGCAUUCAUGCUUGAAAUCAUUGGGACUCAGAUGUUUAUAAAGAUCUCUGAAACUUCUGAAUUCUUUUUCUCAUUUGUUGCCGUGUGAACCAGUCAUCCACUCCGGAAGCUCUCCUGCCACGGAAGUCUUUUAAAGCAACUUAUCUUUUGUGGUCAUCUGAUUGACAAUGGUUCAAUAGAUCUUCAAAAUGACUGCUUAUAAGAUUAUAGACUUUGGUAUGUUAAUGAUGUUGUGGUUUCAUUGGAAAUAAUAUUUUCCUUCUUGGGAGAUGCAUGCUGAAGUAUUUAGGAGUGAAAUAUACUUUUAGAAGUACAUUCAUGCCUACUUUUGGAAGGUUUGAGAAAAGGCAUUAUUUACUCAGGAGAAAAAAGUAUAGGAAACUAAAGAAAAUACUGAAGAUAAUCUCAAAUGGUGACAAUCUUUUUCAAUCUCGUCUGCACUUCAAUUUUGGAAUAGUCUAUAAUAUUUGAGAAUUAACAGAAAUAUUACAAGAUAUAAGCUAGCAACUGUUAUGUAAAAGUAUCCAUUUUCCAUGGAUUCCAGCUAAAAGACUAACAGUUACUAAAACAUCCCCACAAGCUAACUGCUUUUAAAAA
rnacentral:lncRNA from 1 species